CUGGGCUGGAUGAGUGGCGAACGGGUGAGUAACACGUGAGUAACCUGCCCUCUUCUUUGGGAUAACGGUCGGAAACGGCUGCUAAUACCGGGUAUUCACUGUCCUUCGCAUGGGGGGUGGGUGGAAAGGUUUUUUCUUGGUGGGGGAUGGGCUCGCGGCCUAUCAGCUUGUUGGUGGGGUGAUGGCUUACCAAGGCUUUGACGGGUAACCGGCCUGAGAGGGUGACCGGUCACAUUGGGACUGAGAUACGGCCCAG
rnacentral:rRNA from 1 species